GGCUUGCUGCGUGAAAGCAGCUCUUCACUCGAAGGCUUACCUGUUACUAAUCCCAUAAAAGGCAGUUCUUGUGAGAGUUUGGGAUAGCGAUGGGACGGCUGGGAGAGGGAAAAUGGUGGCAGCUGGCCGGUAGGGAAACAGAAUGCUGGAAUAAUUAGAAAGCUCUUCCCUGAACAAGAGCAAAUGCACCAACUUGGAUAGGUCUGCUGAGCCCCCAACCUUCUAUGUGGAAAAAGUAAAUAGAAGAGAGAGACUACUCUAAAUUUAAGAUGAUCAUCUUGCGAAAUAGAGGCUAAAUACAGAUCAUACCUACAUUUACCCAAAAGAAAGAUGACUCUGAAUUUAAGAUUAUUUCUAAUAUCAAAGAACUUGGGAAGAAACCUAGACUUCGAUUCAGACAUAAUCUUCUUGCUGAAGAAUUAUGGGAAACCUGCACCCCUGGUCAAGUCAUUAUGUUAACACCAAGUCAGCAAUGUUCGCUAUACCAGUGCUUCUCGACUUCUUACAGAACUGAGCUGGACAUCAAGUUGCUCUGCUGUAAUCUAGCAAAGUGAACUUCAAAUGACCAUUAACCUGGACAAAGUGACUAGAGAAAGCUUCU